rnacentral:lncRNA from 10 species
UGGCGGGGGCUCCCCUGCCCUCCCUCAGGGCGGAGCCCUCCUCAGGGGCUUCCUGUUGUUCAGGACUCUGUGGCCCGCCGCUCAGGAGGAAAGGGCAGGGCCUACAUAUGUAUGCAUCUGAGGCUGGAGCCUCUAGGCUGUGGGACUUCCUGACAUGGGGGCAGGUGCUACGAGACCCCUGGGGCUGCACCCCACUGUUCUGUGGACUCACCCCACUCACCCCAUUCACCCCUGGGCAGCCGGUUGUUCACGGUCACAGGUCUGGACCCAGGAUGGGGGACAGAGUAAUAAAAACCUGCUGUGCACUCGUGUCGGGCAAAGGUGCGGCCAUGCAGAAGUGAGCACAGGAAAAGCUGGUGCCAACCACAAGUGCUUCUCCUUUUGCUGAAGAAAAACAAUUUUGAUGUUCUGCAGUUGCUCAGUUUCCUGGGACUGCUGUAAGAAGUACCACAAAUGAAGCGGCUUAAAACAACAGAAACUCAGCCGGGUGCAGUGGCUCAUACUUGUGAUCCCAGCACUUUGGGAGGCCGAGGCAGGAGCAUUGCUUGAGCCCAGGAGUUUGAGACCAGUCUGGGCAACAUGGUGAAACCCCAUCUCUACAAAAAAUACAAAUAUUAGCCAGGCGUGGUGGUGCUCGUUUGCAGUCCCAGCUACUCUGGAGGCUGAGGUGGGAGGAUCGCUUAAGCCCAGGAGUUCAAGACUGUAGUGAGCCAUGAUUGUGCCACCCAGCCUGGGAGACAGAGCAGGGCCCUGUCUCAACAAACAACAAACAAUAAACUUGUAUUUCUAGUCACCAAAAUGUUGUGUGUAUAGCAUAGUUUAUUAUAUUCAAAACACUUUCAAAUUUUUUUAAUCUUCAUAAUGUCUACUCUGGGAAAAACAGGAUAAACAUUGUUACACUAACCUUUUUUUCUGGUUGCAAAUGUAAGACAUGGUCAUUGCAUCACUGCAAAACACAAGGACAAGAGGCCAGGUGCAGCGGCUCAUACCUCUAAUCCCAGCAAGGCCUCCCACCUUUGGGAGGCCGAGGUGGGCGGGUCGCCUGAGGUCACGAGUUUGAGACCAGUCUGGGCAACAUGGUGAAACCCCAUCUCUACUAAAAAUACAAAAAUUAUCUGGACGUGGUGGCGCACACCUGUAGUCCAGCGACUUGGGACGUUGAGGCAGGAGAAUCGCUUGAACCUGGGAGGCGGAGGUUGCAGUGAGCUGAGAUUGAACCACUGCACUCCA